rnacentral:rRNA from 1 species
UGGGUAACCUGCCCAAGAGAUCGGGAUAACACCUGGAAACAGAUGCUAAUACCGGAUAACAACAGAUGAUGCCUAUCAACUGUUUAAAAGAUGGUUCUGCUAUCACUCUUGGAUGGACCUGCGGUGCAUUAGCUAGUUGGUAGGGUAACGGCCUACCAAGGCGACGAUACGUAGCCGACCUGAGAGGGUGAUCGGCCACACUGGAACUGAGACACGGUCCAGACUCCUACGGGAGGCAGCAGCU